rnacentral:rRNA from 1 species
GACGAACGCUGGCGGCGUGCUUAACACAUGCAAGUCGAACGGAAAGGCCUGCUUUCCCUUGUGGAUUGCGGGUACUCGAGUGGCGAACGGGUGAGUAACACGUGGGUGAUCUGCCCCCAACUUGGGUAUAAGCCUGUGAAACUGGGUCUAAUUCCCGAUAGGACUGCAGGGUGGUGCCUGUGGUGGAAAACGAUUUUCUAGUGGUUGGGGAUGAGCUCGCGGCCUAUCAGCUUGUUGGUGGGGUAAUGGCCUACCAAGGCGGCGACGGGUAGCCGGCCUGAGAGGGUGGACGGCCACAUUGGGACUGAGAUACGGCCCAGACUCCUACGGGAGGCAGCAGUGGGGAAUAUUGCACAAUGGGCGGAAGCCUGAUGCAGCGACGCCGCGUGGGGGAUGACGGCCUUCGGGUUGUAAACUCCUUUCGACAGCGAGGAAGCCACAUGGUUGGAAGGGUGGUGACGGUAGUGGUAGAAGAAGCACCGGCUAACUACGUG